rnacentral:rRNA from 1 species
CGGCGGAACACGUGAAAUUCCGUCGGAAUCCGGGAGGACCAUCUCCCAAGGCUAAAUACUCCCUAGUGACCGAUAGUGAACCAGUACCGUGAGGGAAAGGUGAAAAGCACCCCGGAAGGGGAGUGAAACAGUUCCUGAAACCGUGUGCCUACAAGUAGUUAGAGCCCGUUAAUGGGUGAUAGCGUGCCUUUUGUAGAAUGAACCGGCGAGUUACGAUUUGUUGCAAGGUUAAGCGGAAAAAGCGGAGCCGUAGCGAAAGCGAGUCUGAAUAGGGCGCAUAAGUAACAGGUCGUAGACCCGAAACCAGGUGAUCUACCCAUGUCCAGGAUGAAGGUAAGGUAAUACUUACUGGAGGUCCGAACCCACGCACGUUGAAAAGUGCGGGGAUGAGGUGUGGGUAGCGGAGAAAUUCCAAUCGAACUUGGAGAUAGCUGGUUCUCUCCGAAAUAGCUUUAGGGCUAGCCUCGAGGUAAAGAGUCAUGGAGGUAGAGCACUGUUUGGACUAGGGGCCCUUCUCGGGUUACCGAAUUCAGAUAAACUCCGAAUGCCAUGUACUUAUACUCGGGAGUCAGACUGCGAGUGAUAAGAUCCGUAGUCGAAAGGGAAACAGCCCAGACCACCAGUUAAGGUCCCCAAAUAUAUGUUAAGUGGAAAAGGAUGUGGGGUUGCUUAGACAACCAGGAUGUUGGCUUAGAAGCAGCCACCAUUGAAAGAGUGCGUAAUAGCUCACUGGUCGAGUGACCCCGCGCCGAAAAUGUACCGGGGCUAAACAUAUUACCGAAACUGUGGAUGAACCUCUUUAGAGGUUCGUGGUAGGAGAGCGUUCUAAGGGCGGUGAAGUCAGACCGGAAGGACUGGUGGAGCGCUUAGAAGUGAGAAUGCCGGUAUGAGUAGCGAAAGAAGGGUGAGAAUCCCUUCCACCGAAUAUCUAAGGUUUCCUGAGGAAGGCUCGUCCGCUCAGGGUUAGUCGGGACCUAAGCCGAGGCCGAUAGGCGUAGGCGAUGGACAACAGGUAGAGAUUCCUGUACCAGUGCUAAUUGUUUAACCGAUGGGGUGACACAGAAGGAUAGGGAAUCGCACGAAUGGAAAUGUGCGUCCAAGCAGUGAGUGUGAGAAGUAGGCAAAUCCGCUUCUCGCGAAGCAUGAGCUGUGAUGGGGAAGGAAAUUAAGUACGGAAGUUCCUGAUUUCACGCUGUCAAGAAAAGCCUCUAGGAAGAGUAGUACUGCCCGUACCGCAAACCGACACAGGUAGAUGAGGAGAGAAUCCUAAGGUGAGCGAGAGAACUCUCGUUAAGGAACUCGGCAAAAUGACCCCGUAACUUCGGGAGAAGGGGUGCUCUAUUAGGGUGCAAGCCCGAGAGAGCCGCAGUGAAUAGGCCCAGGCGACUGUUUAGCAAAAACACAGGUCUCUGCAAAACCGUAAGGUGACGUAUAGGGGCUGACGCCUGCCCGGUGCUGGAAGGUUAAGAGGAGUGCUUAGCUUCGGCGAAGGUACGAAUUGAAGCCCCAGUAAACGGCGGCCGUAACUAUAACGGUCCUAAGGUAGCGAAAUUCCUUGUCGGGUAAGUUCCGACCCGCACGAAAGGCGCAACGAUCUGGGCACUGUCUCAACGAGAGACUCGGUGAAAUUAUAGUACCUGUGAAGAUGCAGGUUACCCGCGACAGGACGGAAAGACCCCGUGGAGCUUUACUGCAACCUGAUAUGGAAUGUUUGUACCGCUUGUACAGGAUAGGUAGGAGCCGAAGAGACGUGUGCGCUAGCAUACGAGGAGGCAAUGGUGGGAUACUACCCU